rnacentral:rRNA from 1 species
GCCGGUGACUAUAGCGGAGGAGCCACACCUGUUCCCAUCUCGAACACAGCAGUUAAGUCCUCUUGCGCCGAUGAUACUUGGCGGGCGACCGCCCGGAAAAGCAGGUCGUUGCCGGCU